CUGUUUUUUGGGAUGGUGGGAUGCUCUUCUGUUUUUGAGCUAAAUUUAUUCUCUAGAUGCAUAGACCUACUUCUGUAAUUUUCCAGAGGACUAAAACCAGCUUCAUUUCAUGCUACAUGUGGCUUGGCAGGGUAGAUGCAGCAUUGCCAAGAGACUGAGCAGGGUUGUAUGAGAGUCACCUCUUUCAUCUGCAAAGGGUGCUUUGUGCAGUCGUGGACAGGGAAGGGAUAUCCUCCUGUGAUGGAGCUCUGAGGGAAGGUGUUGUGGAUGAUGGUGGCCGCUCCUUUCAAGCUUGG